rnacentral:misc_RNA from 1 species
GAAAUGCGAUAAGUAAUGUGAAUUGCAGAAUUCAGUGAAUCAUCGAAUCUUUGAACGCACAUUGCGCCCCCUGGUAUUCCGGGGGGCAUGCCUGUUCGAGCGUCAUUUCACCACUCAAGCCUCGCUCGGUAUUGGGCAACGCGGUCCGCCGCGUGCCUCAAAUCGACCGGCUGGGUCUUCUGUCCCCUAAGCGUUGUGGAAACUAUUCGCUAAAGGGUGUUCGGGAGGCUACGCCGUAAAACAACCCCAUUUCUAAGGUUGACCUCGGAUCAGGUAGGGAUACCCGCUGAACUUAAGC